UAUAUCCCAGACUAUAAACCUCCUGUAACGCUGAUUUUUUUCGAUUUCAGCGGUUCGCAAUCGAUUUUUCUGGUUUUGUUUUAUAGGUUAUUAUGUUUAAUUGGACAUGACACUGUUCCAUUUUCUCUUCAACUAGUCAUAGCGGCCUGUCUGGUACGGUUUUGAUCGCAAUGUGUCUAUAGUCUUCAAAGUGCUUAAUCA
rnacentral:lncRNA from 1 species